rnacentral:rRNA from 1 species
GAUGAACGCUGGCGGCGUGCCUAACACAUGCAAGUCGAACGAGAUGCGUAUCGGAAAGCUUCGGCCGGAAGAUACGUUAUCUAGUGGCGGACGGGUGAGUAACACGUGGGUAACCUGCCUUAUGGAGGGGGAUAACAGAGAGAAAUCACUGCUAAUACCGCAUAAGCACACAGUACCGCAUGGUACAGGGUGAAAAGAUUUAUCGCCAUAAGAUGGACCCGCGUCUGAUUAGCCAGUUGGCAGGGUAAAAGCCUACCAAAGCAACGAUCAGUAGCCGAUCUGAGAGGAUGACCGGCCACAUUGGGACUGAGACACGGCCCAAACUCCUACGGGAGGCAGCAGUGGGGAAUAUUGCACAAUGGGGGAAACCCUGAUGCAGCGACGCCGCGUGAGUGAAGAAGUAUUUCGGUAUGUAAAGCUCUAUCAGCAGGGAAGAUAAUGACAGUACCUGACUAAGAAGCCCCGGCUAACUACGUGCCAGCAGCCGCGGUAAUACGUAGGGGGCAAGCGUUAUCCGGAUUUACUGGGUGUAAAGGGAGCGUAGACGGAAUGGCAAGUCUGAAGUGAAAUACCCGGGCUCAACCUGGGAACUGCUUUGGAAACUGUUGUUCUAGAGUGUUGGAGAGGUAAGUGGAAUUCCUGGUGUAGCGGUGAAAUGCGUAGAUAUCAGGAAGAACACCGGAGGCGAAGGCGGCUUACUGGACAAUAACUGACGUUGAGGCUCGAAAGCGUGGGGAUCAAACAGG